rnacentral:lncRNA from 1 species
AUAUCGUGAUUUGACAUAUAAAAUAUCGUUCUUUUUUAAUAAAAUGUCAUAUUAUCGGUUUCUCUCUAAACCAUUUUUAUCUUUAAAAUAUCAUUUUAUCGAGAAAAAAUUGCACGAAAGUUUAUCUUAUGAUUUAUAGCACUGUCAUACCUCAAAAGCCGUAAUUUUAUUUCAUUAAAAUUAUCCAUUUGCAUAAUAGUAUCCCAUCAUUACGAAAUUAUUAUAAACAAAACUCCAGAUUCUACAAUAUAUUUUUUAUUUAUUAUUUCUGUUUAGUUUACGUAUAUCUAUUUGUUCAAAUUAUUUUUCAAUAUUAUUUAUUUAUUUAUUUACUGAAAGUAUACUAUAUGGAUCAUAGUUAGUUAAUUUGAGAAUUAUUGAAAAUUUGAAUAAAACAGUCGUAUAUGAUUUAUUCCCAAAAAAUUGGAAUAAUAUAGAUUUAUUAUUCGCGAAUAAUUCGCUUAUGUCAAACUAUUCGGCCAAAAAACGCACCAAUUUUUUGGAUAAAAUUUCUUUCCGAAUUAUGACCAAAUUAUUACCGAAUUAUUCGUGAAUUAUUAAAAAAUUUCAUGAACUUUCGAAAUACGUGGAUCAUGAAAAGGCUGAAGAUGGUGACGUCAAUAAAAUUUGCUAUUGCUUUUCUUACUAAAUCUACUUUAUUUUGUAGCUCUUUUUUUUAUAUUUUUAAGAAUUUAUAACUAUAUAUGCUAGUAGUAUAAAAUUAGAGAGAAAAGCUUAGUUUAAUAGCGAAAUUUUUUAUCCUAAAUUAUUAAUUGUUGAGCGUAUAAUAUUCGUACAAAUCGCGUAUCCGAAUAAUUAACGAAUCUAUUUUUUAAAUCAUAUUUUUUAAUAAAUUUAAAAAUUAAAAUACGAAUUUUAUUCUAGUUAUAUCGCACU